CUGGGCGUAAAGGGUGCGCAGGUGGUUUGUUAAGUUAUUUGUGAAAUCCCCGGGCUUAACCUGGGGCGGUCAAGUAAAACUGGCAGGCUUGAGUAUAGGAGAGGGUAGUGGAAUUUCCGGUGUAGCGGUGAAAUGCGUAGAUAUCGGAAGGAACACCAGUGGCGAAGGCGACUACCUGGCCUAAUACUGACACUGAGGCACGAAAGCGUGGGGAGCAAACAGGAUUAGAUACCCUGGUAGUCCACGCCGUAAACGAUGUCAACUAGCUGUU
rnacentral:rRNA from 1 species